CGAACCCACCCGUCCGAUCUUGGGCCUGAGAAAUCGAGACUGUCAUUUCACCACAGGAGUCGUGGAAUAAUGAAAAAUCCACACCAAUCCCAGAGCCAGUCGGCCGGAACGCCGCUGAUCUAGAGCCUGAGGGAAAGAAAAUAGCCACCCUGAGGGAUUCGCCUUACGUUUGUCUGAUCUGUGCUCAUAAUCCGACGCCCGCUCGGCUCGAGAAGAAAUAUGGUUUGUGCUCCGAAUCUCCAACGAAGAUCCUUUCAUCAGGAGCGGCGGUACGCUCGUAAAGAGCUGAAUUAUUGCAGCGGAAUCGGUUUUAAAGGAAAACAUCUACAGUGGGUACGGAUCAUAUACCAGCUGUCGGCUCAUGUCUUGGUCACGUUCUAGGCAUUAAACAGUCAUAGAUUGCCGGUCAGCUGUUUUAAUAAGGGUCAAGUUCAACAUAAAGCAAAACUGAACGCUUUGUUGCACACCGAGCAUAUUCCAUCAAAGAUCAAACCUCAAUAGGAGCCUCUUUGUCCAUUAUACUCAGGAGACUCGAUGUUAGACCUGAGUUAAUUGUCCACUUGAUGUAUGUCAUGCGGUACGAUUGAUCCGCUCUGAAGGGUCCUAAUGCAAUGACAUUCACCCAGGGAGAAGGGACACAGACGGAUUGAAAGACUCUCACUUAGCGAGUCAUCACAGGCGAGGCAAAACAACAGGCUUUUUUCCACUGUGAAGUCGAUGGACAAACGCAGAAGGCCCAUCUGCUGCUUUCCUGUGUGAGAGAAAACAAAAAGGAUGGUUUUCUCCUUGUUGCCAAAGAUCCAAGAGCUUCUUCAAUAUUAUGAUUUUCUCUCUCACGGUUAAUUGAUAGCGGGAGAUUCAAACCAGAUUUUUCCCCUUCCAGAAAAUCCUCUCACCUUCAAGCAAGAUUUAAAGUCACUGCUGGAGGUUCCCAUUUAUGAGCCAGCGUUGCAGUACCCAGCAGACCUGCUAAGGGGCAGCGUAGCACCGUGAAUGACAGUGCAGUGCCAAUGAGGAAGAGAAGCAUGCUGGCAUGUGCAAACCAGGGAGAUUCUGGGCGUUUUCCAAAUGCGAGUGAUCUCCCUAUGCCCUACUCCCUUGGAAAGGAGUGAACUGGUUGAAGGGUGUAUGGCAUUACUGUCUCUGAUGUAUCAUUUGGAACUCCCUUCACAAAGGGAAUGACUUGCCAAAUGUUACCUUGACAACGCCGCACGUGCUAUCUGAAUCCAGCGCUCGCUUGUAGAAAAUUAACAAUAUUUUUGAAUGUUGAGUAAUUAUGUCUUAUUCCACCAUUUUGGUGAA